GGAAAGAAAGGCCAACGGAAGCACAGGGAUUGCAAACCACUGCCCUGAUACCAAAAAGCCUCUGAAUCAACCCUGGAACUGGGAGGAUGAACCAGUAAUUCAGACUACAGGAAAAAAGCAGUAAGACAGUUCAGAAAAGCUUAAAAAUCUUGAAGUCUGUUCCAUGAAGGAAAGGGUCACAACGAAUGUCGGCACAGUACUUCACAAACCUGAUGCCAACAGCAACUGUGAAAUGGAAGCAACUCUACAAAUUAUUGCCAUCAUGAGACUAUCAUUAGGUCUACAUAGCUCAAGCUUCACUUGGAGUUCAAUUGUGUGAUUCAGAAGCACAGCUAGGAUAAGUCAGAGACUGGAAAGGGGAAGAGGAGAGACGUGCAGGAUAUUUUUUUUUAACCAGUGAAACAACUCCCGACUUCCAGGACCAGACAAUAUACUUAAUGCACAAAACCAAUAUAUUUUAUGGCCUAAAUGAAAAAAAGUAAAGUGGAAGGUCGGGCGCUGUUCCUUUAAGAUGCUUCCAGAAUCAAAUACCACUCUUGAAAGGGCUGCCAAACAAUGUAUCCAGGUAAAGAAUGAAAAAAAUAUAUUCAGAGGAAAGGCAGGAGGAUGUGUGGAAAGCUCAGUGAGAUUAUGGAAGUGCAGUAAUUGAAUAUGACACAAGAGUCAAGUGCAAGAGGGAACUGGCUGGAGUGCAGUGGCGCAAUCUCAGCUCACUGAAACCUCCACCUCCCAGGUUCAAGUGAUUCUCCUGCCUCAGCCUCCCGAGUACCUGGGAUUCCAGGUGAGCGCCACCACACCCGGCUAAUUUUUGCAUUUGUAGCAGAGAUGGAGUUUUGCCAUGUUGGCCAGGCUGGUCUUGAACUCCUGACCUCAAAUGAUCCGCCCGCCUGGGCCUCCCAAACUGCUGGCAUUACAGGCGCAAGCCACUGCACCUGGCCUUAAUCACUUUUUGCUGAAAUAAAUUGCACACU